GGCAUCAAAACAUUAUAGGUUUUUUGUGUUUUAGGUGCCAAAAUCGUCGUUUUCCAUUUCGCCGAGUCGGGAAGUAGGAUUUUGUCUGUGUGCCGUUGCUGCCAGGAAAAAGUCGAAUUCAAGGGUCGCGAGAUUGACCCUUUGCCGGGUCAGUAGCGGCGCGCCAAGGGUUCAGAAGGACGAGGGGGCACCCCAGCAUGGAGACGGCAUCCAAACAUUAUAGGUUUUUAAUGUUUUAGGUGCCUAAAACUUCGUUUUUCGUUGCGCCUAGGAUAUUGUCAGUAUUAUCGUUGCUACCAGAAGAAGUCGAAAUUCAAGGGUCCCGAUUUUGACCUUUUGCCGGGUCGGCAGCGCCGCCCCAAGGGUCAAUAAAAUCGAGGGGGCUCCCUGAAAUAGGGACGGCAUCAAA